UACGUAGGGGGCAAGCGUUGUCCGGAAUUAUUGGGCGUAAAGAGCGUGUAGGCGGUCCGGUAAGUCAGCUGUGAAAGUCAAGGGCUCAACCCUUGAAUGCCGGUUGAUACUGUCGGGCUAGAGUGCGGAAGAGGCGAGUGGAAUUCCUGGUGUAGCGGUGAAAUGCGCAGAUAUCAGGAGGAACACCAAUUGCGAAGGCAGCUCGCUGGGACGUUACUGACGCUGAGACGCGAAAGCGUGGGGAGCAAACAGG
rnacentral:rRNA from 1 species